UGGAAGACUUGGCACAGUCUUUCCUCCCCAAGGGUACUGCGCUGGUGAUGUUUGCAGAGUGCAUCACACUCCUCUGAUAAAAGGUGUAUCCUGAGUACAAAAUAUCAUUGUCACUAUUCCACAAUGUGGCUAAAUAUAGGCUUGCGCCAAUCUGCUAAAGAGCAGAGUGUCUCUUCAACAUUUGCCUGGAAGGAACAAGUGGCCCAGGGGCUGCAGAGGAUGCAGCAGAAAAGAGCUGGAAUGCAGCAUCAGUGUGCCUGAGACGGGGGCAUGGGGAGAGGAAGAGAAAGACCGUGCAUGCCCUCCUGGUGGGCAGCCCAAGCCCACUGGGGGACAGUGAGUCCAGAGUGCAGCAACGCUGGAGUCCUGCUGUGAAAGGCCACGAUAGCUGAGCCCCUGCGAGGAAUGGAGCAAGGAGAUCACAGAGCACGGAGCACAUUGCAUCUGCCCCACGCAGUGGCAGAGCAGGAAGCUCAAGGGCCUGGCGUUAAGAGGUACCAUUCAAAUUUUUCAGCAAUUGGCUAACAAGCUCUAAUUUGAGCGUUUGGGUUGGACCUUGGCUCAGCGGGAGCAGACCCGGAGCAGAUGCCGUCUCCGAGCAGCCUGUCUGGGGAAGCCGGUCAGUUUCCACUCUAUCACAGUCUCACAGAACAGGGAAGCUGCAGGAAGGUUGACAAAAACACAGCAAAGCAGCGAGAGCCUCCCUGGUGGAGAGCCACACCCAGGUUGUCAUUCUGGGAUUGAGCAACCCUUUCAGGGUUGAGCCAAUUUCUAGGUCAUGUGGAGUGGGCCAGCUUUAAUGAACCUGUCUAAAAGGAAGGAAGAGAAAGCUCAGCUCAUCGGGAAAGGGAGGAGGACCUUGGCAGCCGUCUCACUCCUCACCAGCUCUUCUUCUUGGAUCUUGUUCUGACUCCUUGGUCCGCUAAUGGCCUCCUGGAUGAAAGAGUUAGGCAGAGAACAAAGAUUGGUGGCUUCCUCCUGAGCACUCUGGGAUGUGACAUUACUUUGGGGGCUGCUGAGUGCCCUUACCUACAGCUACCCAGAUGCCGAGGCAGGAAGCCGCACGCCAUUUGGAUUAUUGCACUUCUCAAAGUACAUGGAAAGACUUGGGACCAUCCAGAGAAGAAUGUUACAAACAAAAGGGCAGAAUGCAUGAUGGCAAAGAUGCCCCAUGAGGAAAGGCUGAAGAAUCAGGACUAGUGGAGCUAAAGAGAAAAACUCAAGUGAUAAAACAUUAUUGUUUUCAAAAAUGUCCCAGGUUUUUGGCUAGAAGAUGUCACUCAUACGUUUCCCGAACACAUGGCGGCCCCUGGAAGACAAAAGUAAAGAUGGAAACCAGACCAGUAAAGAAGUCCUUUGAUGGCCUUCCGAGGCAACGCUCCCUCACAGUUGCGGGCAGCGUCUCAUCUUUGUCACUUCUGGCGUGAUGCUGCACACCCACAGCCAGUGCAUCAUCUCUGCCUGUGCCCGUGUCUUGCCUUCUUUCUCUCCUCACCUCGACCAGCUUGGCCAGCUCGUUGGUCACUGGGGUUGCACUCACCAUGCACGUACCUGGCUCCCACAACCUCAGAAGUUCUCAGUACAAUGCAGGACUGGAGAUUGAAACCAAUGAAAGGUUGUUAAAUAAAUGAACAAUUUAAAGAGGAAAUAUUUAAUGCUGAGAACAAAGACUAGAAAAGAGAUGUCUCGUAAGAAAUUUCACAGUGAAAUGCCAUGUGUUGCACUCUGUAAGUUCCUCUCCAUCUCCUUAACACAGUGUUUAGUGAAAUCUACAGUGCUCACUUGUACUGUGUGGAGUCUGUGGGUGAAAGCUUGUAGAUAUCCAACAUUUGUGUAACACUAGAAAGUCCAUUUUGCCCUCUCUGAGAAAAUCUAGUGAUUCUGCUGUUAUGUCUAGAUUCAGAUCCCUCAAUAAGAGUUCUCUUGGCCUCAUUUUCAUAAUGAUCCUCAGAAGCAUUUACUAACUAGGCUGUACCCACCUAGUACAGCUCUGUCCAUAUGGUAGGUCUGCAAUAGAUUCUUGCGAUCUUAUGGUAAUUAGACAGCAAUAUGAUUCUGGAAUUGUGGCAAUUUAGUUAUUCUGUUCCGCUGACCUCGCAUGUGUUAGGUAACUCAUGCCCAUCCUUGUAGGUUUGUAUUUAGACGUGUCAUCCUGGGAGCCACUCAGCUUCCUGGGAGGAUGGGGAUGGAGAGUCUACUGAAGUUCUUCAGCAUCUCCAGUUGACCUUGGCAGAGAUCCUGAGUGAACUCCAUGAGGAUCUACAGGGAACUGGCAGCUGGCCCCUUCUGCUGUUAUUUUCCUGAAACCAUGUUACAUUAUAAGAGGCUGGAAGGGACGGAGGUCGCAUAUCAUAUUGGCAGCAGAUGAAUCCCAUCUGCACUAUAGAGGUCCAAGAUUUCAAUCAGUGAGUUACGGACACCAUCAAUGAAAACAGCAGUGCAUCAGGGAAUCACGUGACGAUCAUAGCUAAACGAAGCCCUAUCCUGAGAGGACUCUGUUGAUGCCUCAGCUUCUUGCUUCUAAGCUCCUGGCCCCAUUCGGUCUGAGGCAACAAAGAUUCAGAUUGAUGCCAUUUAUUUGCACCAACGUGCAGAAGAGGCAGCGGAAGUGUUGGGAGACCUGUGAAGAACCAUUCAUUGGGGUGAGACUAAGCCAUACCUUCUACCCUGAAAACUUG